ACCCAGAAGUGGGUGUGGUCUCAUAGGAUAGGCUCUGAAAUAUCUUUCCUAUAGAGACUUAUCUACCCUCUUGGUCUAACUUCAUUCCUUUUAACUGUCUUCCCGGUGUUCCCAAACUCCCUCUUUUUAAACUUAAUUCUAACUAAUUUAAAGACAGGGUCUGUGUAGUGAGGUCUGGCCUGGAACUCACAAGGAUGCUCCUGCCUCUGCUCCCUGAGUGCUGGGAUUAAGAGUGUGGAACACCACGAGCUUGCUUAUUUGUGUGUUUAGAGACGGGUUGGGUGUCACUGUUUCACUCUCCCUAUCAGACAACUUGUCAUAGCGUCCUGCAAGCUCAGGCCCGGAUGUCUGCUUUUGGAAUUAAUACCUCCAUUGCCUGUGGAAGCCUGUCCCUUGGGUCAGAAGAGGCCUCUGGGUAACCUGCUCUGUGUGGGAACGCAGGAUGCUGUGGUAUAGGUCACUCAGUCCAGUCCAGGGAAGUGUUUAUGCCAACUGAAGGGAACACUUACCAGUUACCGCUGUUGGAUGGAGUUCCCAGUGAUUGGUGAGCCAGAAGGACUCCUACUUCAACCAGAAACUGAUGAUGGUCCUGCUUAUACUAGAAAAUGCUCGGAAGAAUUUUGCAAUUUAUGGAAUACUAAUUAUGGGAAUAUUCUGGAAUCCCUUAUAACCCACAGGAUCAGGCUAUUGUGGAAUAAUAAUUAAAUGGUAAAUUUUAAAAAUAAAAAGGGGGUAUAAACACCCACCUACGUCUCUUACACAGUAUGUGACGUUUAGCUAUGCUAACUUUAAAUAUUUUCACUUUAAAAGGUAAUGAGUCUUCUGCUGCCACAAGAGUUUUUGCCCUAACACAUACACAGCCUAAAGUAUAUGUUAAAUGGAAAGAUCUAGAAACUAAUCAGUAGAAAAUCCCCAAUGUUCUUCUAACAUCAGGGUGAGGUCAUACUUAUAUCUUUCCAGCAAAUGAACACAAUCUCAUAUGGUUCCCACUAUGAUGAAUCUGACCAGGAUAACAUCACGGAGACCACUGAUAAAAUGUCCAAAAGUGGAUAUGACAAACCCAUCAAAAGGACCCAUCUCUAGAGGAGAAGGAAGCGGAUAACCUGGGGAGACAACAAGGACACAAUUCUACUGCCCCCCCCCAAAUGAUGCUGUUCUCUUUAUUGACUGUAUUAUUAUUAAUAUAGGCUACAUUGUUAAUCCUUAGCUUGUCAGUGCAGAAUCCAAAUGCUUUUCAUCGGGGAGAACAGAAGGCACACCUCUAAUAGGAGACAGUGUGCUAAAGGACAUAGCUCUAAUAGGAAAGUAUGCUAAGCACUGCUUUUAGAUUGUGAUUAUGAUUAUUAACAAUCCCAAGAAUGAUUACUGGAAUACAAAUGGAGGUUUCAAAAAUGGCUUGUAUGAUUAGUAAGUUACAGUGAAAUAUAUUAGCAGAAGUCAAUCAAGAGAUGGAUAAAUUGAAAAACCACGGUUUUAUAAAACAGAGCUACUAUAGAUCAUUUAUUGUUUAAGCAUAAGCUUGGUUAAGAAUUUCUUGUUAUGUAUUACUUAAAUGUGUCAGAUUUUCCUCAUACUCUCAGUGGUCAAAUUAUAAGGAUGAACAAACUAUCUCAAGUGAUCUUUGAAUGCCGUCAUGGUUAAGACAGCUUCCCUCUUUCCUUGGGUCUCUAUUAGCCAUUCUUAUAGCUUGUAUGCUUGUCUGUAUUAGACCAGCCACGCAGAGAUGCAUUCAAUCUUGGCGCCUAUUACAGGCACAAGAUUCUCUUUAAAAAAAUUUAAAAGGCAGGGAGAGAGAUGAGGGGUACAGAGGUUCUUGUGCUCACAGAUAGAACCAGGAAUGUAAAACACACAGGUGGUCCCUUCAAAGGGAAGGAUAUAUAACCUAUGUUCCUCCCAGAAGGCUAGGAUCAGAUAUUGUUAAUAGCCUGGAGACCUUUGUGCUAUCUGUGUGGCUGAGCCCAUACCACAUCCUCCCCUAGACCCUUAUCAUGAGCUUGUCAAUCUGUAGAAACGUAUGUUUAUGAAAUGUAUCACAUGUAGUCAAUCUAUAGAAACCAUCUUUAUGGAAGACAUCACACGUAUUUUACAAAGAGUUUCAAUGUAGUGAUGUCUUAUUGUAAAAAUGUGGCAUUGAGCUUUUUAUUACCAGGAAAAUGUUCGUCCAAUUGUGCUGUGCUUAAAUAUGCCUAAAUAAACUACUUGAGAUCAGACUCCCAAAAUCUGAAUGAACAUCAGCUACUGAGAUGUGUUGAAGUGGAAUAUGUUCUUGCCACGGUGGUCACAGAUGUCCCCGUGGAGUAUAGGUAGAGAGACCACAUGGAAGUAUCCAUCUUCAAGACAAUCAAAAAGGCCUCUAAAGAAACUAACCAUGUUAUCAACUUGAUCUUAGACUUCUACUUUUGAAAACGGUUAAAAAAAAACAAUAAAUUUUUCUGUUGUUAAAUCAUCUAGAUUACAAAACUUAGUUAUAGAAACUUUAAUAAAUAGUACACUUGAGAAUUUGUUAUAGAUGUAAGGCCUUAGUCUCUUUCCAGUCAGAAGCUCAAGGGUGAAAACCAGCCAUUUCUUUUAAAGAUUCUGCACAUGAUUCUUAGGCCGCAUAAGUUUGCAGAGAGCUGGCCUGGUUGUUAAGUCUGUAAGCACUGGACUAGUCUGCAUUCAUACCUUAUCUACCAUGAACUACGGUGUAUUUGAAGGUAGCCUUAUAAACUUGAAUAUAUUUAAACUUGGGUUUAAAUGUCUUCAUUUGUAAAAAGUGUAUAACCCUCAUCUCUUCUCUUGUGAAUUCUAGGCAAGGGCUGUAUUACAUUUUAGGUUGCUAUGGUGCUAAACAAAUUCAUCUAGGUAGAAUUAGAGCGGAGAUUAGUGCAUGGUUAAUUCUCUACACUGUGAAAUACUAUUACAGUAGGUAACAUGCACCAACCUCCAACCCCUAUUUUGUCUGUACAUAUGUCUGGAGCCCCUGAAACUGGAGUUAGGGAUAGUUGAAAGCUGCUAUGUGGUUGCUGGAAAUAGAACCUGGGUCCUCUGCAAAAACAGCCAGUGCUCUUAACCACUGAGCCAUCUCCCCAGCCCCCUCCUAUUUUCUUUCCUUAUUAUUUCCUGGUUAUGAUUAUGAUUUGGAAAAUGUAGAUGGUGCCAAGUUCUUUGGAGUUUAUGCAAAUAAUGCAUAGCACACAUUGUUAAAAGCCUCUCCAUCCUCUCGGAAGGCCUAUUGUCAUCAAUUUUAUAUCCUGUUCCCACGAGAAUGUCACCUCUUUUCUCUUUGCAUUUUGCUACAUCUUGUAAUGCUUAAGGUCAAGCCCUGGUUGUGGUGCCUGCCUGGCACACUGUGCCACUGAGUCCCUCACUCAGAUGGCUUAGUCUCAUUCUGUGUUGGCCUGUUUGACUCCACCUUCUUUUAAAGCAGUUUCUCAUCAAGGCACCUCAUCCCCUAUCUCCCUCCCACUGUCUUCCUGAGACAACUGUUUUACUACGCAGCUGUCCCUAGAUCCCAGGAAAAAUUUCACUGGACGAGUUUUGCUGUUCAGCCUUGUUUCUAUGUAUUUGAUUGUCUUUAGUAUUUUAUGUAAGUUGUAAACACACUGG